UCCCAAUAGUUAGAGGUUGAAACUUUUGUUUACACAAGAGAAGACAAAAAAGAGAAGACAGAGUAUUUGGUUCAGUGGAAAGGUUAUGACAAACAGGAUGACACUUGGGAACCAGAGCAGCACAUCGUGAACUGUGAAAAAUGUUUCUAUGUCUUUAACAGAUGACAGACUGAAAAGCAGAAAACAAAGACACAGAUCAAAACAAGUAGAACUUUUUCAAACAAUGCCCCAAAAAAAGAACUUCCAGAUCUACCAACACCAACUUUUCUAAUAACUCUCCUAAUAUGUUAUUAACUGGCAAACACCACAAGUUCUAAAACAGCCAGUGAUUUGCUGCCAGCCACAAUGUUAGGAAAAAUGCAGCUUCACCUCUCUUUCACCCAAAGCAUACGGAGAUAGUAAAUUCAACUAUCAAGACACUUGCACAUCAGAGCCCCUUUAACAGCAAGAACAGAGUGACUGACAUUCAGGAACCUGAGACACUAAACCCUAUUGCACCAGAUUAGCAGGACACAGUGGUGUUCAACGUGGCAGUAGAGAAGCCUGUCAGAGCUUUAUCAGAUCCCAGUGCAGGACCAGCUGGAAUAGAAAAAAGGCCACUGAUACAUGCACUAUUGUCUCAGAUGUCUGGCUCAGUUACUACUGCAUCCAUGGUCACAGGCUCAGCUAACAAGGAAGGUAUAUUGGUAUUAAUGGACUCAUCAACAGCCAACAGAAGAACAAAUAUGCAUACACCUAUUACAAGAGUGAGAGGCGGGCAAAGAAAGGUUAAUGAUAAUAACAGAGACCAGCCUUUUAUGUAGAGGAUGCAUGUCACCAGAAGGCUAACAGAAAGUGCCAGCAGAUACAGAGACAUUGUAGUGAGGAAAGAGGAUGGAUUCACCUAGAUAUUGGUAUCAACUAGAUUGACAGGAGAAAACACACUGAAUGCAGAAGUAAUGAAAGAAAUCAUGAAUGCUCUGAAUAUGGCUGCUCCAGAUGAUAGCAAACUUGUGCUGUUCAGCACAGUUGGCAGUGUCUUUUGCUGUGGUCUUGAUUUUGGGUACUUCGUGAAGCAUUUAACAAAUGACAGAAAGAGAACAAGCAUUGAAAUGGUGGACAAUAUCAAGAAUGUUUUUGACAAUUUCAUUCAAUUUAAAAAGUCAACUGUUGUAUCAGUCAAUGGGCCAGCCAUUGGACUGGGUGCAUCCAUACUGCCUCUUUGUCACUUGAUUUGGGCUAAUGACAGCUUUGGUUUCAAACCCCUUAUACAACAUUUGGACAGAGUUCAGAUGGCUUUCUAGUGUUACAUUUCCCAAUGAUGGGUGAAGCAUCUGCCAAUAAAAUGUUGAGUGCUGUGUGAAAGCUGACAAUACAGGAGGCAUGUGCCAAAGACCUGGUUUCUCAGGUGUUUUGAACAGCAACUUUCACCCAAGAUAUUAUGGUUCAAAUUAAUGAGCUUGCCUCAUGUAAUCCAGUUGUUCUGGAGGAAUGUAAGGCCCUUGCUAGCUGUAAUAUUAAGAUGGAGUUUGAACAAAUGGCUGAGAAAGAAUGUUAAAUGCUGAAGAAAAUCUGGGGUUCAGCCCAUGGGAUACAAUAUAUGUUAGCGUAAGUGCAAAAAAAAAAUGAUGAGUUUUAA
rnacentral:lncRNA from 1 species